AACAAAGAGUUAAAUGUGUGGGUACAACUGAAACCAAGUGAUGCUAAAAAUAAAAGUGGAAUUUCCCCCAAACACUGAAUGACAACUCAACGAGGAGCAGAACUCACCACUCAAGAGUUCCAAGUAGUCCACUUGAACAGGUCUGGCCGAGAUCUUUCGGUUGAGCUUGGAGUAUCCUUGCCGCAGAAAGAAGAAUCUAAACGGUUCUGUGGGUGCUAACAUUCUGGCCUGAAGCAUGUGUCCAGGGCGGCUGUCUACCAGCUCCAUCUGGUACACAGGAUGAGACCCUACCUGCCCACGGACUGCCUUGCCAGAGUGGUGCAUGCUCUGGUUA